UACGUAGGGGUGCAAGCGUUUGUCCGGAAUUAUUGGGCGUAAAGAGCUCGUAGGCGGUCUGUCGCGUCUGCUGUGAAAACUCAGGGCUUAACCCUGAGCUUGCAGUGGGUACGGGCAGACUAGAGUGCGGUAGGGGAGACUGGAAUUCCUGGUGUAGCGGUGAAAUGCGCAGAUAUCAGGAGGAACACCGGUGGCCGAAGGCGGGUCUCUGGGCCGUAACUGGACGCUGGAGGAGCGAAAGCCAGUGGGGAGCGAACAGG
rnacentral:rRNA from 1 species